UAAGCUUAUAUCAAUUAACUUACGAUAUAUUUUUACAUACAAAAAUAUAGGGUGUAAUACAAAAAGUGGGUAUUUUCAGUGAAGGUGUUGUUAUGAGACAUUUUGUGGUAACAAGGCCGCCUUGUUCUUUCUGCAGUUGAGCUAACCAAAAAGGGGGCUGUGGAACAAAAUUCUUGGUGGCAAUUUCCAGCAAUAAUGUUGUCCCAUGUUUAGCGAGCCCAUCUGCAACAAAAUUUUACUCCAUGUAUGUCUAUGCUACGAGCGGCCGACCUAGAUGGUUGAUCUAGUACCUGCAUUCAUGGAGGAAAAUGAGUAGCAAAGAUUUUUGUUUACGAGCGUGGAUAUUACCUCAUUGCAUCCACAUUUAUUUUUGGUUCCUUCAAGUAAAUCAGAAAGCUCCAUGUAGGUAUGAUUCCAUGUUCGACGUAUACCUGUAAACCUAAUAUCCAUUUGCCUUUUGAAUCCCUAAAGACUCCAGUUCGACGGGGAAUUUUAUUUUGAGGCUUUCUUAGUAUUUAGUUUGAAGAAUCUAUAUUGGAUCAGGGGAGGGGGGUGCCAUUUGACAUACGGGGCAUGAGGGAUUGAGGUCUUUGUAUAAUUUCUAGCAAGGUAGUAAUGUUCAUGAUGUUUAUACCUCAAUACCACACAAGACAGGGGUGAUUUGUGUGGUGACCAAUUUAUUGCGUAAGGACUUGGUUCUUCUAAGUGUUCCUUAACCUACUGUUGCAGAAAUAGAAAAUAUGGAAAGUAAAGAACACAAGUAUUUUACAUGAAAAACACCUGGCUCAAAAGGUGAAAAAACCAGAACCCCUUUCCAAGAGGAUUUUUCCAAACUCUCCACUAAAAUUAUUGAGCCAAAACUACAUUUACAAAACUUUUUUGUAAACCUAGGACUAAAUCUAAUCCCGUUGUAGAACAUAGCCUCUAACUGUUAUGGCUACUUCAAGUUAACUCUAACUUGAAUACUCUGAGUACCUAUUACGAUUGCCUCUAGAUAGAGAUAAAAUGUACAAUAUAAUACCACCUACACAACUGAACUAGAAUAACAGACAUACACUUGGAACUAGUUCUUCUCUUUGGUUCAUGUAGCUUCAGGUUUAGACACUUGAAUCACAUGCGAAUUACUUGUAAAAUUGUCUUGCUAUUUUGCUCUCAAUUCACAUUUAACUUCUUCUUAUGUAUGUUUCAUGUAAAAGAGAACAACAUUAAUAUUUAUAGAGUUAGUAAAUAGAGAUUGACUAGAAUUAUGAUGCUACUCUUCCUUGGUGGAAGAGUUCUAGUUGAUCUCAACCUUUAACUCCAUCCCUUUCAUUAAUCGUGUUCUCUUUGAGUAAGAAGUCUUUCUCCUUAUCAAUUAUGCAAUUUUUUCAAUCAGGAUCAAGAUAUAUCAAUUCUGUCAAGUUAGGUUUAUCUCUUUCACGUGCAUCCCACAUGUUCAAGUCUAUAUAUAUCUGUGCUCCACUAGGAUGGACCAGGUUAUGUCUGAGUCCCUUUGUCAGUCUUCAAAACUAACCUUUACUUGGGCCAACAAAUUUCCCCUUUUUGCUAAUGACUUACUCGGUGCUUUUCAUACACUUACGCUCUGCUAGGACACAGCUCAACAUCAAUUCAAUGUUAGAAACAUUUUUCACUUAUCAUCAAUGACCAGGUUCAUUAGGCUAUAAACAUUAGUGUUCAGAGUAUAAAGCAUAAUUUCUUUUCCCCAUUUUGGCAUCAUCGAAAAGUUUCAUACCUAUGUGUGAUUCCAAGAUUUUAAAACUUAUUCAUGGCUAUUGGGGCAACUGCAAAUACAUUCAUGGAUUAAUCAUCAAUAAUCAAGUACACAUUCAAACUAUCAAGGAAAUAUAAACAGUCAAUAACAACAAAAGCAACAAACUUCAUUGGUAGAGAAUAUGAUUCUACCACAAUCCACAAAAAGAAACAAAAACAGUUAAAGCACGAGCAACAAAAAUAAAUAUCCUGAAUCUAGGUCACUGAAUAGUCUAGGCAGGGCUAGGAAAUUAAGGCUCUGAAGAGCUGGGGGUUUGGGAUUUGGCUUGGAGAAGGUGCAACAUAUCGUGAGGAAUUCCAUCAUUCUUCUCAUUUUCCUUUGUGACGCUCAGUUCUGCGAGCAUCUCUCAGAUUCUACCUCAGCAAAAAGAGUCUUCAACCUUGCUAUCUCAGCAUCCUUUGCCCCACUCUCCUGUAAUAGAUUUCUGUUCUUGCUAUUUACGAGUGUCAUUUUAGAUGAACCAGGCUCAUUAGGAAUGGAAGUGAUCUCAUAAUCACAAGCAAUCAGAGUAUUGAUUCCAAAAUAGUCUUUGCUUGUGUUUAUCUUCCACUUCUUCAUAGAUACCUUACAAUAAGCAAGAACAGUAGUGAGAAUGAAACCAUAAGUAGUGGCAAGGGCCUUGGAGCCCUUGAUAACCCGAUCUAGAAGCUUGAUUAUAAACCUAGGCCAAUUGAUCUGCCGCCCAAUAUCUAGAUAUUCCAUCAAAACAAAGUCCAUGUAGUUGGCGAUGUUCCUUCUUUCCUGCUAGGCAGCACACACUUGAUGGCGAAUUCAAACAAUACCUUUUUGGGAAGCUUCAUUUCACUCUUAUAAAUAACCUUUGGUGCACUUACUUCCUUACUAUCACAGAAUUUCCUAGUAAUGGCUAGGGCAGUAGGAAGGGAGUCCAGACUUGGCCAUUUUUUGCCAUGUGUAAUUAUCAUAACCUUCAGAAGGUAUACCAAGGAUUUCAUCUAGCUCUUUUGAAUCAAAGAACACAAAACCUCACUACUGCACAAGCUUUAUGUUAUAAUCUGUCUAAGAAACUACUGAUAGAAUCCACAUGCCAGAAAUAUGAACACUCACUGAUCCUCUCAAACAUGGUGAGCCACCAAGAACAAAUAUUAUCAAGGAUAACCUCAGCAACUUCAAACCAGCAGAACGUGCGAAAAUGGUCAUGGACUUAGGGAAAAAGAAAACUAUUCAGUGAUUCAUGUCGAACACAUUGAGGCCAACACAGUAGGCUCAAGCAGAUCACUAUGAACAUCAGAACAUAUUGCACACAACCGAAGAAAAAAAACACAAGAAAGACUCAAUUGUGAAGUGACUAUCUCUUAACAACAUAACCAAAGAUUCUGAAUAACAACACUUAACAAACCAACCGUUCAAGCAAUAGGGUGGAAUCCAGUUUAAAGCUUUUAGUAGAUAAGAAGGGUUUCACAAGAACAAAUCAUUCAGAGUUCAAGAAAAGAAAAACAGACGUCUCGCGAAUAAUCGUCAUAGAUUCAUGCUUGCUCGAAAAUCACCAGAAGAAACUGAACACAUCAUUCAACUGAAUGCAAUGAAACAUUAACUCAGAAAACACUUGAAGCCCGAAUAACAGUCACAACAUACAGGAAAUGAAAGACGUCUACUCAAAUCAACUCUCUACUGACUAUAUAUACUCAAACACAUACCACCACUGCGAAUAGAUUCAGUCAACAAGAUAUUCGAUCAUAACACAAAACAGACCAAUCUAGCUUGAAUCUCAUAGUUCAAAACACUGAAACAAGAAAGAAUCGCAUAGAAUACAAGAGAGGAAAAUUGAACCUGAAGCUGCGAUCUCUUUUAUAACAAUUAUAGGCUCGACAAUACACUUCUCGUUCCAAAUCCUAUAAAUAGAAAUGGAAAACACCAACUUUCGAACUAGAACAACAGCUUCAACAACGACGAGCUCAUUUAAACCAACUCAGCUUUGACCAAGAACUAGAGAAAGAAAACAGAACCUUUUUUUUUUUGUUGAAAUUUUCUGAUUUAUGAAGCAAACUAUGAACAAACGAAAAACUCGAAUAUCUUUAGCAUUUUUCAAAUAGAGAAGAGGACGGAAUAAAAAAUUCACCAGGAAGAAUCAGAACCCAAUCCUCAGUCUUUCAUCUAUGUUUUAAUACUAGAAAUCAACAACAACAACUGAAGAACUCUCCCUCGAAUCCUUAAACCUUUUCUCUCAUUUUUUGACUCUCCAAAUUUUUUUUCCGAGUCCCCCUUUUCAAAAUCGGAUAAAGCUCCAUUUGAAAAUGAAUCCCUGAUGAAUGUGGGGCUUGGAUUGAGUAAAAUCAAUCCAAUGUCUCACACUUAUCUAGCAAAUCGUUCCCAGAAGCUUCCAAUCAUGAUACAACUCGAAUUCGAGCGAGUGGAAGGGGAAUCUUGCGUCAGAAACCGUAAGAAACGGUAAGGUGAAAAAAGGAGGGACGCGUGAGUUAGGGAAUUAGGAUUCACUCGCUCAAAUUUGGACUGUAUUAGGGCUGGAUUCGAGUGAGGACGAUGAAGGAACAAUAUGCGUUUAGAGAUUAGGGAUUUUGGCUUGGGAAUCUCCGUUCGCG
rnacentral:lncRNA from 1 species